ensembl:lncRNA
AGAAUAUCAGGUUGAAUAUUCUUGGUGGAACCAGAGCAAAUGACUGCAAUGACACAGAGCAAGACUUUUUCCUCCUCCUCCCAACCCACCAGCUUAAGUUGAAAUGACAAAGGACUCUUGGUUUUAGACUGAAGAGGUUGGACCUUUGAAUGCCUGAACUGCAUGAAGGACAUAAGGAGUGUGUGUGUGUGUGUGUGUGUGUGUGUAAGAAGCAGGGGUAGGAUUUAGAAGAUGGAGAUGGGUGAAGAGCUGACUGUUGAAAGUGGAGGUGGAAGGGGCUGUGUUGAGAAGGAGCACCUUGAGACUUGUGAUUUACACAGGCUGAGUGGAGCCCAAGUGAUAAAAUGUGGAACAGUUGGGGAAAGGGCAACAGAAGGCCCGGGACAUUCAGCACAGCCCCAGCGAGUGACAGUGUGAGAUGCUUCUCUGGGUGACUCAUAGGCGGCAGACAGCAAAGAGACACCAGCAGAUUAAUGGCCUUGUUCUUCGGAUCUCCAGAGAACUUUCCCAGAGAUGCCUAGAAAUCAACAAGGGAUAUUCGGAAUGAGAACAGGAAAAAGCUGUGGCCCCACAGUUGUGCAGGUUCACAUCCUCUGUGAGGUCAUACUGCUGCAGCAGGUCACGCGUCCAAUGCAAACCAGAAGCGAGCUAUUCCUUCCUCAGUUAACUAGUUACAGAACUCUACAUGAAGAUGUGGGGGCUAGACAGACAGGGAACACUGCAACAGGAGUUACUAUAUUAGGAGUGUGAGCCACCAGCUCUUAACACUUGUUCAUGUCGACAGAACAUGAGUAGGUCUAAUCUCCUAUAUGCCAUUUCCACCUGAUGAUGGAAGACAACAUUAGUGCCUGGUGGAGCAGAAAAUACCUAUGUCAUCCCUGAAGACCAGGUUCACGAGAUCAGAUUUUCUAUGUCUGCAUGCGUAUGUGCUAGGUCAUGUUUGACUCUUUGUGACCCCAGGGACUAUAUAGCCCGCCAGGCUCCUCUGUCCUGAGAUUCUCCAGACAAGAACACUGGAGUGGGGUUGCCAUUUCCUACUCCAAGUUUCUAUAUCUAACAGGGCCCAUUAGCAUGCCAAGGGCAGUUUCUUAAUAGCAGAGUAUUUAUUUGCUUCCAAACACUACAAGCUUGCUUUGUAUAUGAUGCUCCUCUAAAUGUUUGCUAUAAGCUACACAGGGCAUCCCAAAUUGCCACAGGCGUUUCAAGCACCAUUGGAGCUGCUGGCUCAUAAAGACUAAACGACAGGGCUUUGCAGUGAAGCUGGGUCUUACUCUUGGCUUCAUUCAUACCUAGUAACUUUAGGGGUUACCUCAGUAAAUAGAUUCCAAACGCAGGCUAUAUUGUCUCCAAAAUUCAAAGUGACCCAGAGUGCAAUGUGCCUCCUUCUUAGAAGUACUUUGGAGGGGACACCCCCUCACAUCUCAGAUCACUAGUCCCCCAAGAACCUUCCCCAAAGUGGUUGGCCUUGACUUCUCUUUGCGUCUUCCUCCUACUUUCAAAUCUCAUAUUUCUUACAAGGCCAUCUAGAGUACCUGCAACUCCCUAGUUAACUGGUCCUGCCAUCAUGAAGUCAUCAAUGAAAUAGGCCAGAGCAUUUUCCUUUGAGGUGGUGAAAUAAGAAAGAACCUGCACAAUAAAGGUAGAGAUGGUGAAAAUAUUAUAAUCCUU